GACGAACGCUGGCGGCGUGGUUUACACAUGCAAGUCGAACGGUAACAGGGUGCUUGCACCGCUGACGAGUGGCGAACGGGUGAGUAAUGCGUCGGAACGUGCCGAGUAGUGGGGGAUAACGCAGCGAAAGUUGUGCUAAUACCGCAUACGUACUGAGGUAGAAAGUGGGGGACCUUCGGGCCUCACGCUAUUCGAGCGGCCGACGUCUGAUUAGCUAGUAGGUGAGGUAAAGGCUCACCUAGGCGACGAUCAGUAGCGGGUCUGAGAGGAUGAUCCGCCACACUGGGACUGAGACACGGCCCAGACUCCUACGGGAGGCAGCAGUGGGGAAUUUUGGACAAUGGGCGAAAGCCUGAUCCAGCCAUGCCGCGUGUCUGAAGAAGGCCUUCGGGUUGUAAAGGACUUUUGUCAGGGAGGAAAUCCCUAGCGCUAAUACCGCUGGGGGAUGACAGUACCUGAAGAAUAAGCACCGGCUAACUACGUGCCAGCAGCCGCGGUAAUAC
rnacentral:rRNA from 1 species